rnacentral:tRNA from 1 species
GGGUUUGUGGCUCAGUGGUAGAGCACUUGCCUAGCAUGUGUGAAGCGCUGGGUUCAAUUCUCAGCACCA